GAGUUUGAUCCUGGCUCAGGAUGAACGCUGGCGGCGUGUCUAACACAUGCAAGUCGAACGAAGCGUAUAGAAGGAAGUUUUCGGAUGGAAUUUUAUAUGACUUAGUGGCGGACGGGUGAGUAACGCGUGGAUAAUCUGCCUUACACAGCGGGAUAACAAGUGGAAACAGUUGCUAAUACCGCAUAAGCACACAAUAUCGCAUGAUAAAGGGUGAAAAGAUUUAUCGGUGUAAGAUGAGUCCGCGUCCCAUUAGCUAGUUGGUGAGGUAAAGGCUUACCAAGGCGACGAUGGGUAGCCGGCCUGAGAGGGUGAACGGCCACAUUGGGACUGAGACACGGCCCAGACUCCUACGGGAGGCAGCAGUGGGGGAUAUUGCACAAUGGGCGAAAGCCUGAUGCAGCGACGCCGCGUGAAGGAAGAAGUAUUUCGGUAUGUAAACUUCUAUC
rnacentral:rRNA from 1 species